GGAGGAUUUUGCUGCGAUGGCGGUCCUGCAAGGGAAUUCCUGCAUUGGAGCUUCCUAUAAACUGUAGCGGGUUUUCUGAAGCUAGUGGAACUUUGUAAAGGCCUCGUAGUGUUACCCUGCCUCGCCUCCUCGGUAGAGGUGUAUGGGAAGUCGCGAUCCCUUGGCAGAUGGGUAACAUGACUUGUGGGUAAAGAUGCGCCACCUCUGCAGAGUGUAAAACUGGUAUACUAGCCGUGCUCACGGUCAUGAGCAGCUCGGACCCUCACAUGAUUAAAUUAUGGAACUUAAACUCAAUUUGUCAUAUGCAUUGCAUCGCAGGUGAUGUUGUUACUUUUGUUCUACUACUUAAUUGGGCUGGUAUUUACUUAUACUUAGUAAUUGCUAAUAAAAUUUUGACCAACUUUAAAAGCAAUGCUCAGCUCUAACCAUCCUCUUUGGUAAGCCUUACACUUCACGUGAGCUCCCACCUUUGGCGAGUUCAUGCACAUUAUUCCCCACAACUUGUUGAGCGAUGAACGUAUGUGAGCUCACUCUUGCUGUCUCACACCCCCCCCACAGGUCAAGAGCAGGUACCACAGGAUGAGGCGCUUGGAGGAUGCUGCGAUGUGUUCGUGAGAGGUCUAGGUCGUCGUCUCCCAGUCAACUUUGGGUUGCUGGAUCGUUUCCUCAUAUGAUGUAAUUAUUUCUGUACAGAACUCCUGUUAUAUAGUAAAGAUGUGACAUUCGAUCCUGUGCCACUAUGCAUCAUAUGUGUGAGACUUGGUCCCAGCACACCUGGUGUUUAUGUUCGCGCCCGGGUUUUGGACCCCUAAAACCCGGGUGUUACAGAAGUGGUAUCAGAGGAAUGUUGACUGUAGGACGAAACCUAGAUAGAACUGGACAACCAAUACUUACUUAUCUUUGCUACUCUGAUUCUUUUCUAAACUUCUCUUAAUCUUUCUCAUCUAUUUCCGCUUUACUCUGAUUAUUCUUACCUUUUCAUUCUAAAGACAAAUGUGGAUUUCACACUUUGAAAUCCUGUGCCUAAAGUGACUUUUAGGAAUAGGCGACCUAAUCUUAGGAACAAAAACAAAACUAUUUUUAUAGGUAUCUAUAUACUUGAAUGUUUGUUCUUAUGAUACUUGUCUGAUUUGGAUCUUUGAUUGAGUGUGAUGGGUUGUGGAGUAAUGUCCACAAUUACAUCUACAUAUACAUAUAGGCAUAAAUAUAAAUAAAUAAAAUUCAUAAGAUUAAAAAAACUAGAUUAUCCUCCAUUAAAGUGUAUCUAUUUUAGAUAGAUCCAUCUUAUCUUAAAAGAUUCUUUCUUAUCUUAGUAGAUUCAUCUUAUCUUGAAAAGAUUUUAUGUCAUCCUAAUAGAUCUAACUGACCUCAAAAGAUUCUACCUUAUCCUUAUGGAUUCAUCUUGCCCUAAUUAGCAUAUUUAUCCCACUCUAGAAAAACAACCAUGAGCUAAUCCAAAAUUUAUUUAGAUCUUAACUAGUCUAAUCCAGUCAUAUCCAACCUAAUCUAGAUUUUAUCUAAUCUAUUAUGAUCUAAUCCAGAGUAAGUUACUUAAUGCUCUUACAAAAGAUAAGGCCAUACCCUUAAGCCUAAAUUGGUGACUUAGAUCAACUCGGCCAUACACAACAACUUGACCUACAUAAUAGGUUACAUAACCUAUCCCACCCAUCUAGAAUCAAACAACCAAACCAGAUUCAGACUAAUCUCAUUUAACUCAUAGCCAUCUACUAAACUAGCUGCUCCACCUACUACUUUAUCUUAACUACAUGUCCCUAAUUCGGAUAACAACUUCAAGAACGAAGAUCGAAGAUGAUCGACCUCAUCAAAUCAAGGAAGGAUAAGAUUCAAGCCAGAUCUUCAAAAGAAUCAAGAGCCACAAUCUUCGAUAGAGUCUUUUCUUACCCUACUCUUUCUUACCCCAAACCUAUAACUGCCUUAAAAUAUCUUUUAUCCUGCAUAAUAAAGUGGCUAUACCCAUAUAGACCCCUGCUUUCCUAAUCAACUGAUAAUUUGCGAUAAAAAAAGAGUUUUGGUAUUAAAAUCAAUUAGAAACUAAC
rnacentral:lncRNA from 1 species